rnacentral:rRNA from 1 species
AUGACUGAGGAAGAUCUCUCAUCACUACAAGCACAUGAGAAGAGAGAGAAGGCAAGGGAAGAGCAAGCUGCAAAGAUGCCAACUGCUGAAGAGGCAUCUCAAGUGUUCUUGAAGAGUAAGCAAUACCAGCUUGCAUAUCUGAUCCAAUCCACCUUGAGGAUUGAGAAGGGCUUGGCCACCCUGACUCAAAACCAGGAGAGCUUGGAGAGGAUUAUUGAGCAGAAAUUCUAUGAUCUUGAUGUCAAGGUAACUGAGAUUCAAAUGGCAGUUGAGCAGCUUCAGGAGGAAGCAGAGGAGAAGAAGGGCAAGUCUACUACAGAUGCUUUUGCUAGAGUGCCCAGAAGACAGAGAUCUGCUGCAGUGCCAGUCACAGAUACUAGAGCUACAGCAUCAGCACCAGCAGCUACAGCUCCAGUGCCACCUCCAGCAGCCACUCCACCAGCUCCAGCUACAUCGACAGAUGCCUUCGUCCUUGGAGUUCUCUCUACACCACCUCCCGAAGAUCAAGCCUGA